rnacentral:rRNA from 1 species
CCUACGGGUGGCAGCAGUGAGGAAUAUUGGUCAAUGGGCGCGAGCCUGAACCAGCCAAGUAGCGUGAAGGAUGACUGCCCUACGGGUUGUAAACUUCUUUUAUAAAGGAAUAAAGUGAGACACGUGUGCCUUUUUGUAUGUACUGUAUGAAUAAGGAUCGGCUAACUCCGUUCCAGCAGCCGCGGUAAUACGGAGGAUCCGAGCGUUAUGCGGAUGUAUUGUGUUUAAAGGGAGAGUAGAUGGGUUGUUAAGUCAGUUGUGAAAGUGUGCGGCUCAACCGUAAAAUUGCAAUUGAUACUGGCAGUCGUGAGUACAGUUGAGGUAGGCGGAAUUCGUGGUGUAGCGGUGAAAUGCUUAGAUAUCACGAAGAACUCCGAUUGCGAAGGCAGUUUACGAAACUGCCACUGACAUUGAGGCUCGAAAGUGUGGGUAUCAAACAGGAUUAGAUACCCUAGUAGUC